rnacentral:rRNA from 1 species
UACGGAGGGGGCAAGCGUUAUCCGGAUUUAUUGGGUUUAAAGGGUGCGUAGGCGGCCCUAUAAGUCAGUGGUGAAAUAUCGCAGCUUAACUGUGAGGGUGCCAUUGAUACUGUAGGGCUUGAGUGAAUUUGAGGUAGGCGGAAUUGACGGUGUAGCGGUGAAAUGCUUAGAUAUCGUCAAGAACACCGAUAGUGAAGACAGCUUACCAAGCUUCAACUGACGCUGAGGCACGAAAGUGUGGGGAUCAAACAGG